CUUUUUCUCUGUGCAUCCUCAGUGACGCGGGGCACAGCUCUGCCCGGGGGCCUACCAGAGCCCACCUGGACCCCACACUGGGUCAGCCCUGGUGCGGAGGAGGCCGCUGUAGGCGCGGCCAGGUCACAGUCGGCACCAGAAGUUUGGCAGAUCUCAGUGAGGCGUUAGUUUGCAUUUCCUUGUGACGGGUUUUGACUGGAAUGCCAGGCUUAACGUUGCUCAGAAGUUGCUUCUAUGAGGACGUCUCCCAGCAGCUGUCAGUGUUUCCAAUGAGUCAUCGCCAGCCCCUGCAAUGAGCCUCUCAGGCUGGUAAGUUUUGUUUCAGAACCGCUUCCUCAAGCUUCUUUUGCCUUUAAAAGCUUCCUCUUGCCCCAGCCUCCCAGGGAAUGCCUGUGGUCUGUCAUGGCUCACACAUCCUGGUUGAUAAUCCACUGCUGUUCUCCACGGAAUGCCUUCAUUUUGAGAGCUGCUCGCUGCCUGUUGUGGUUUCAGUUGACGGCCCACCGCUGUGUGCAGAGUUCACCAGCCGCUGUGGUGUGCAGUGCAGCAGCUGACCUGCCUGCCUUGUGGUUUUCUAAUCCCAUUGAGGGGACGUCUUAGGUGUUCUCACCAAGAAUGCACAGCAACAGUGCUGGGUGGGCCACAUCCUCCCUCACGUUUGGUGCCACCAGUUUUAUAGAUUUUGGCUACUGUGGGUGUGUGUGGUGGUUUUUGUUGGUGUUUACGACGCAUCUUCCUGGUGCUCGAGUCUGUCGAGCACUUUUUCUUGUGUUUAUUUGCCAUCAUUUGGCGAAGUGUUCAAAUCCUUUGACCGUUGUUUCACCAAGUUGUUUUAUUAUGAAAUUUUAGGGGUUACUUAUUCUGGAUCUCAGCACUUGGAUAAAUAUUUGAGAAUAUUUUUUGCAGUAAGUGACAUCGUUUUAUGUGGAUGAACAGAAGAUUUUAAUUUUGAUAAAGUCUAAUGGAUAUAUGUGAUGUUAGUGUAAUUUGAAUGCAUACAUAUGUAUAUUUAAUGCAUUCUUUUAUGAUGAUUGUGCACUUCAUAUGAAAUGCGGCAACCUUGCCUUGCCAUCCCGGAGGCCUCUGCUUCUCUGAUCUGUGGGUGUCACAGGCACUUCACUUACUCACACCUUAUGGCACGGUUUCUUUUGCUCUAAGCCUGCACGUGUGUUUUAAAGGUAAUUUCUUCCGUUAGAGAAGUCGCGUAGGCUCACCCUGCUAUUUGCCAUUUCUGGAGCUCUUUAUCUCCUUCUUCAUAUCUGCAUUUCCCUCUGGAAUCAUUUCCAUUCAGCCUGAAGAACUCUUCUGCCUGGGACUCCACCUUCUUUUCUAGCAGCUGGGCUCAUUGGGAGCUCUGUCCUCUGGUGGCUCUGGCCAGGGGACGCUGGGUUUUCUCUUAGGGUUUCAGUUGGCCCGUGUGGUGCCAAUGUCAACGUGUCUGUAGGCCAGAGCCAGCAAUGAGCACCCCCUCGGUCUGGCCCUGAGCUCCAAGGCCCCACUCCCACGGGAUCUUGCUGCCAGGACCCCACUCUCUGCAUCUUGUCCAGAGUGUCGAGGAGGGCAGGGUCCAGCGGGAUCUCUCGGCCCUCCCAGGGCUGAGUCUGUGCUCUGACCUUUCCUGGGAGGCACUCAGGGCCAACAGAGCAACAAGGGGCCUUUCCCUGUGGCUCCCUCCCCUCUGGAGAAAAUGGGUCAGACCUGGGUUUCUCCAUAGUCACUGUCCCUAAAAUGAAGCCGGGCUGCCAGAGGCGGUUGCAUCUCCCGGCACCAAGACCCCAGAGUCCCUGUGAGAAAGAGGACCAACGACGAUGGAAGCCUUUCUCUAAUGUGCGCACAGCCAGGCCGCUCCUCUGAAGGCGCUGAGCCGCCUCUAAUCACAGCGCCACACUGGCCACAGGUCGCUGGGUAUAGGAUGAACCCAGCUGUGAAUAGGAUGCAUUUCCUGGGAGGUUUCUGUGAAGUUACUGAACUGCCAAAAGGUAAGCAGUUUUAAUUGAUUUGUGAGUCUUCAAUUAAGCACAGCAGAAUGCUAAUUAAAUAUUCUCUGUUCUUUAAAUAGAGAAUGCUUUAAAUAAUUCAGCACAAUCUUUGCAUAAAUCACACCAUUCAGCUGAGGUGCCUGUCAGCAGUCAAGUGAUUGAGAGCACAAACUGUCCCAAAGACACAGCCCCCUUCCCCCUGGAGACGCGCACAGCCUGCAGAAGAGAUGUCACCUGAUGCAGCGUUGUGGUUUAAAAACUCAUUAUGGGAAGCAUGAGGCUGGACCCAGGGGACCCUGGAGGUGAUGCAGGGGCUUUGGCAGCCUGGAAGCUGUUGGAGGAGGGGCCCUUGGUGGAAGUGGGGACAGUUUGAGCCUCCGGCCUCCAAUUCCCUCCCGCUGGCUUCUGGGCCGCACCUCCAGGAAUCCAGCUAGACCCGCAGGGCUCUGACUCCAGACUUUAUUAAAUGUUUCCUCUAACGGUUCUGGCCAUUCUGCUGGGCCAUUAAAGGCUACCCCAGGGCCUCAGAUAUGAGCGUGGUGUCUGUAUGUGGUCCUUUCAUGGAGGGCAGGAAGCAUCAUAAUUACUUUUUUUUUUAACGGUUUUCAAUUUGUGUUGACAAAGAGCCUUAGUGAAUCUGUUGGAAGAAGAGUGACUUCAAAAUGAACCUGACUCCCUGUAUGUUAGGAGUCCAUAUUCUCUGAUACAGUUAACGUUUUCCUUCCAACCUCUUCACUGUUCAAGCAAAGUGGUAUUUUAGCUAUUCACUGUUUGACACUUUAAUAGGAGUUUUGAUGAGCAAUUUCAGGAUGUGGAAUUGCUACACUGCACCAGGUUCCUGCAGGAGCAGCAGCCUCAGCCUGUGGAUGGGACGUGAGAUCUUGGUGUUUCUCCUGGAGGAAACGCUGUGCUGCUGUGUUGAUGACGGGGCGUGUGUGGGGUUGAUGAUGGGUGAUGGAGUGUGGGGUUGGUGACAGGUGACGGAGUGUGGGGUUGACGACGGGUGAUGGAGUGUGGGGAUGAUGAUGGGUGAUGGAGUGUGGGGAUGAUGACGGGUGAUGGAGUGUGGGGAUGAUGAUGGGUGAUGGAGUGUGGGGAUGAUGAUGGGUGAUGGAGUGUGGGGAUGAUGACGGGUGAUGGAGUGUGGGGAUGAUGAUGGGUGAUGGAGUGUGGGGAUGGUGAUGGAGUGUGGGGAUGGUGAUGGAGUGUGGGGAUGAUGAUGGGUGAUGGAGUGUGGGGAUGAUGAUGGAGUGUGGGGAUGAUGACGGGUGAUGGAGUGUGGGGAUGAUGAUGGGUGAUGGAGUGUGGGGAUGGUGAUGGAGUGUGGGGAUGGUGAUGGAGUGUGGGGAUGAUGAUGGGUGAUGGAGUGUGGGGAUGAUGAUGGAGUGUGGGGAUGAUGACGGGUGAUGGAGUGUGGGGUUGACGACGGGGCGUGGGGUUGAUGAUGGAGUGUGGGGAUGAUGAUGGGUAUGGAGUGUGGGGAUGAUGAUGGGUAUGGAGUGUGGGGUUGAUGACGGGUGAUAGAGGAGUGUGGGGAUGUGAUGGGUGAUGGAGUGUGGGGAUGAUGAUGGAAUGUGGGAUUGAUGACGGAUGAUGGAGUGUGGGGAUGAUGAUGGGUGAUGGAGUGUGGGGAUGAUGAUGGAGUGUGGGGUUGAUGAUGGGUGAUGGAGUGUGGGGUUGAUGAUGGGUGAUGGAGUGUGGGGAUGAUGUUGGGUGAUGAAGUGCGGGGAUGAUGAUGGAGUGUGGUGAUGAUGACAGGUGACGGAGUCUGGGGUUGAUGACGGGGCGUGGGGUUGAUGAUGGAGUGUGGGGAUGAUGAUGGGUAUGGAGUGUGGGGAUGAUGAUGGAUAUGGAGUGUGGGGUUGAUGACGGGUGAUACAGUGUGGGGAUGUGAUGGGUGAUGGAGUGUGGGGAUGAUGAUGGGUAUGGAGUGUGGGAUUGAUGACGGGUGAUGGAGUGUGGGGAUGAUGAUGGGUAAUGAAGUGUGGGGAUGAUGAUGGAGUGUGGUGAUGAUGACAGGUGACGGAGUGUGGGGUUGAUGACGGGGCGUGGGGUUGAUGAUGGAGUGUGGGGAUGAUGACGGGUGACCGAGUGUGGGGUUGAUGACGGGGCGUGGGGUUGAUGAUGGGGUGUGGGGAUGAUGACGGGGCAUGGGGUUGAUGACGGGGCGUGGGGCUGUUGGGGGUGUGGGGUUGAUGACGGGGUGUGGGGCUGAUGAUGGGGUGUGGGGCUGAUGAUGGGGCAUGGGGUUUAUGAUGGGGUGUGGGAUUAAUGACGGAGUGUGGCGUUGAUGAUGAGGCGUGGGGUUUAUGACAGAGCGUGGGGUCAAUGACAGGGUGUGGGGUUGAUGACGGGGUGUGGGGUUGAUGACGGGGCAUGGGGUUUAUGACAGCUUGUGUCAGACGAAGCCACAUCAACUCAUUCUGAGCACCCCUUUCCUCAAAACAUAAGGAUGAGCAUGACCAAAAUCUCAAGACAUUUUUCCUAAGUCCUUAAGACGGAUGAACUUCUACAGGUAAGUAGGUAGAUUAAUAAACAGAGGUAAGGAAUGUUGGCAUGAAGAAGCUCCCUAGGCUGCUGUGUGGCUGAAGCUCUGACUGGUCAUGCUGGUUAAGGAUGCGUCUGAGCAAGAUCGGUCGCUGACAGGUAGGUGUGUAGAAAAUAACCUAUAUGUGGUGGUCCAUUUUCAGUUCUAAGUGCCUUCAUAUAGGUUUAAGCAGGCUAUGUGGAAAUAGAGAAAUAAAGAAGCAGAAAUGUACUGAGUCACCACCCUGCCCUCCUUCCUGCUUUCCCUUUCACCCAGCGGCCACGUGCCUAUCAGUAGGAGCCCCCUCAACUACCCUCUCCUCACCCCACCAAAGAAUUUAGUUUAGGCUAGCUUGCAACAUAAAUAAUUAUACCCUUUCUUAUCAGCUACGUGCAGCCACCAGGGCCAUAGUCAAAUGUUUGAAGAGUCCUGAGACAGUUGCAAUGCAUGGUGGGCUGCAAUAAAAUGCAGCAGAAAGAUCCUAAAGAACAGACUUGAAAUCUUAAUCCAACGACCAAUAGGUGAUGUCCAGGAAGAUCGUAACCCCAUUUACUCAGUCAAUGAGGAACUGGGGGAGGGACCUGCGCACUAGGGGAUAAAUUGCUUGUUGAAACUCUGCUGGGGGUGGCUGCAUGCCAGCCAGACACCCAGUCUUGCAAGACUGUCAUUGAAAAUCUCCGUUUUGCUGUUCUCCGGGUCUCUGCGUCCAGUCUUUGUGUUUGGACGGACCUGCCGGGCCAUCUUUCUGCAAGAAGAUAAAGGAAGACCAGGAGUGCCUGCCGAACUCCUAUGGAGGAAGUCUAGGAGAGGAAGGGGACAGGGAGGAAGAUGGUGUCUGCAAACCAGGAAGCAGCCUUGCCAGACACAGGAUUGGCCACAACCUUGACCCCAGACUUCCAGCCUCCAGAACUGUGAGAAAUAAAUGUCCAUAUUGACUAGGGGCACAGGGCAUGGGGGAACUGGUUCCAGACCUGCCUCCUGGGAAGUUGGGAGGGGGCAUUUCAACCUGUUAAUUUCUCAAAUUAUGUAGUCAUUCAAAAAGAAAUAGAAACACUUCAUUAACUUUGUGAUUGCCAAAUUAUUGAUCAAUUCUCAUAGAAAGUUAUAACAUUUCCCCUUUUGGUACAUUUCUGUUAAAAAGAAGGUUGUCUUUCCAGCCUUAUGUUUUGUAGUUUAAUUUGCUCACAUUCAUUAUAAUCCAUUAUUUAAUACAUUUUUCUUCCAUUUGAUCAUAUUACUUGCUGAUAGGAAGGACUGAGUUCAUUUUCAGCGUGUCUGGCUUUUCCAUUUCUGUGGCCUGGGAAGGUGGGUGGCUACAUCAUCAUCCAUGGUCUCUGAAAUAUCCUGUGUUACCAAGGCCUGCUUGUUCCACCAAACUGCUCCAUAGGCAGUUGUGACACCCAGAAAGAUGCUGAUAUGGUUUGGCUGUGUCCCCACCCAAAUCUCAUCUUGAAUUGUAGUUCCCAUAAUCCCCAGGUGUCUGGGAGGGGCCCAGUGGGAGGUAAUUGAGACAUGGGGGCGGGUUUUCCCAUGCUGUUCUUGUGAUAGUGAAUAAGUCCCAAGAGAUUCUGAUGGUUUUAUAAACAGGAAUUUCCCUGCACAGGCUCUCUUGCCUGCCACCAUGUAAGACCUGCCUCUGCUCCUCCUUCACCUUCCGCCAUGAUUGUGAGGCCACCCCAGCCAUGUGGAACUGUCAAGAGGCUGGGAGGUGCCCUCUGCCUUUCAAGAUCAGAGAGUAGCUGAUCCCCCUCCUGCCGUCAUUUAUGGACUGAAUAACCACAGAGAGUGUGAGGCCGGCGGAAACUUGGCAGUGCCUGUUUGUCAUUCUUCCACGUCUUCGCUGCCAUGGUCCACCUGCAGCAGCCAAGAAAGCCGCGUUGCAUCGCCACGAGCUAAACUCCAGCCUUCGGAUUUCAGAGCUUCCAUCCAUGUCCUCUCUCUGCUGUGACCCCACCUGGGGUGCCACGUCGUGUCUGAUCCUCCUGUGUCCUCGGCUUCUCUGGUCUGUGACAUUUCUGUCUCUCCUUUGCCAUGACCCUGGCAGUGUGGAGGAGACUGUUGGGCACCCUGUGGAUGCCCCUCAGUCUGGGUUCAUCUGUCCUUUUCCUCAUGGUUAGCCUGAGGUGGUGGGCUUCCGCAAAUAAUACCAAGGAGGUGAAAUGUUCUUCCCCUCACGGCCUCUCAGGGGCAUAGAACAUCCUCUUGACUUCACAGGUGGCGUUAACCCGAUCGCUUGUGUGAAAAUAACGCAUCGGGAGGCACUAGGCUGAGGGCUUCAGUACCUCAGAAGCAAACCCAGUUCCUGCACACAGAAACCCCAUUCAGGGUAAGGGGUCCUGUCCUAGGAAAGAAAAUUCAAGUUUAAACAGAAACUGCCAGCUAACCUCAAAGCAGAGGCCGUGUGACUGCUGUUUCACUUCAAUCCAUCCUUUUUCUGUUCUUCCUUCCAAGAACACUGAUGAAGGUUUUCCUUGUGCUCCUUGGUAGAGCCCAAACUGCUGUAGUUCAGUGCUGCCCAGCUCAUGGAUUCCUGUCUCCUCAAAUAACUCUUUACACUUUCACGUGCCUACGUUUAUCUUCUAACACUUGGAUCAGGUGGCGUCCGCCAGGUGUCUUCGCUGUAAAGUCACUGUCUUCCCUUCCACCGCUCCACUCUUUGGGAUGAGUCACGAAGCCUGUGCUACCUUCAGGGGAGGGCUGGGGAAGAGUUAAACUCCAUCUCCUGGAGGGGCUGCUACAUAUGAUCAUAUGAUGUUAUUUGGAGUAAGAAAGAUUUGCCUCUUCUCCACAUUUACUUGUUUAUUCAAUUAUUUAUACCAGUAUGGGCUCAUGAUAUUUACUGUAUAUUUUUUAUUAUAAUUCAAUCAUCCAAUAUAUUAUUUCUUUUGUUGUUCAAAUUUUUCCAUCUUUGGCCAUUGGCAGCCCUUUCACGUUGGCAUCUGUGUCCAUUGGACAAUCCCCCAUCCUUUUGUUUUUUUGAAAAUUUCCUUACUUUUUGAUAUCAUGAGAUACUCCAGGCUCAUCUUGUCUUCUCUCUGAUCCACCCUAGAAUCAGCCGUGGUUCCCCUCAUUGGAGAAUGAUAUUUAGAAACAGAAACCUGGGUGCUGGGUGUGCUCAGUGGGACGAGGGUGUCACUGCCUCCAGCCCUGUCAGUGAAGAGAGCUGCGUAAUGUGCGUGCAGAUAAUACCCUAUGUGUGAACACAUACUUCAGAUUAUCUCUGGAUCUGUCCAUCCUUAUAUCGAUGCAAAGCUAAACAUGAGUUCACACUGAUGUCUCUGAUUCUCAUCUAGUACCACAGGGUUCAGUCUAAACUUCCUCUUAUUUACAAAUAACCUUCCCCUCCAACACAAGAAGCCUGCCUCCCAUGGUUUGCCAUCCGUUGACUUAUCUGUUCAAUCCCAGUGUAUGUGAAUUGUUAACUUGUACCCCUGUGGGAAAUUUACCAACAAAGGAAUGAUAUUAAUGUCCUUUUGUCUUUAGCUUUACAAUUUCCACUCAAAACAUCAUAUUCUGAAGUUACUCAGGUCAGCUUCCUGUUUCUUUAAGUUCGCCCUCAUUACUGUCCGCGCUUUGUGAUGUGCAGUCAUGUGUUACCACCCCAGUGCCAGAAAGAAGAGCUCCUCGUGUGUCCGCCGAUGGCCAAGCACUCCUCUCCCCAGCCCCUGGCAACUGCUAGUCCAAGCUUGUCCAACCCACAGCCCGUGGGCUGCAUGCGGCCCAGGAUGGCUUUGAAUGUGGCCCAACACAAAUUCGUAAACUUUCUUAACACCUUAUGAGAUUUAUACAUGGACUUUUUUUGCUCAAGAGCUAUUGUUAGUGUUAGUAUAUUUUAUGUGUGGCCCAAGGCACAAUUCUUCUUCCAGUGUGGCCCAGGGAAGCCAAAAGAUUGGACACCCCGGCCCUAGUCUGUUCAUUCCUAUAGUUUUAAUUUUUCCAAAGUAUCAUAUGAAUGGAAUCAUGUGAUAUGUAGCCCAUGAAUCAUGUAUAUGGGUUUUUCACUUAGUAGAGCACAUUUAAGAUUCAUCAUUGUUGCUAUGUGAAUCAAUAGCUGGUUCCUUUUAUCUCUCCGCAGCUCCUACUGCACUGAGAAGCACGUGUUCUCCAUUUCCCUGGGGGAGACCAUUGUAUUGGGCAGUUUGGAACAAAACACCAUGGACUGGGAGGCUUACACAACAGAAAUUUAUUUCUUGCUGUUCUAGAGGCUGGGAAGCUCAAGGUGCUGGCUGCAUAUUCAUUCUGAGGCCUCUUCUGAUGUGCAGGCAGCUGCCUUCUGACUUGUGCUCACAUUGGAGAGAGGGAGUCAGCUUUGGUGUCUCUUCUUGUAAGGACACUAACCCCAUUCACUAGGGCCCCACCCUCAUGACCUAAUCACCCCCAAAGGUCCUGUCUCCAGACAUAUCACAUGGGGCAGAGCUUCAAUGUACCAAUUCUGGGGGGUCACAAACCCUCCGUCCAUAGCAGACAUCUUGGUUGCUCCCAGUUUUUAGAGAUUAAGAAUAAAACAACUGUAAAUAUUUACAUGCAGGUUUUUGUGUGAACAAGUUUUCAUGCCAGCUGGGUAAAUAGCUAGGGCUGUGAUGGCCAGAUCCUGUGGUAAGAUUCUGUUCCACAUUCUAAGAAACUGCCCAACUGUCUUCCACAGUGGCUGUGCCAUUUUGCAGUUCUGACAGCAAUUCUGUAGCUCCACAACCUCAUCAGCACUGGGUGGUGGUGCUUGAAUUUUGCAUUUUAGCCAUUCUAAUUGGUGUGGGUAGUAGUUCUCAUUUGGGGUUCAAUUUGCUUUUUCCUUUUUUUUUUUUUUUUUUUGGCAGGCUGGACAUCUCCUAGAGGGCAAUAGAUUCUGGUUUUGUUUUUUUUUUUAGACAGAGUCUCAUGCUGUCACCCAGGCUGGAGUACAAUGGCAUGAUCUCUGCUCACUGCAACUUCUGCCUCCCAGGCUCAAGCAAUUCUCCUGCCUCAGCCUCCCAAAUAGCUGGGGUUACAGAUGCUCGCCACCAUGCCUGGCUAAUUUUUGUAUUUUUAGUAGGGAUGGAGUUUCACCAUGCCAGCCAGGCUGGUUUUGAGCUCCUGAACUCAAAUGAUCCACCCGCCUUAGCCUCCCAAAGUGCUGGGAUUACAGGCGUGAGCCACCGCACCUGGCUGAGGGCAAUCGAUUCUGAAUAAAUAGGUUGUGAAUUGGAGAUUUGCAUUAACCCUGCCCAGGGCCGGGCUGUGUUUGCUGUAGCUGUGUGUGUGUAUAACUUCAGAUCCCUCUGUGACCUCCUUUUGUCUCCCUUUGUGGUUUUGGGCUUUCCUUUGCUGUUCCUCGGACAGCCUGUGUCUCUCAGGUCUCUUAGCUGUAAUCCAGUUAUCCCAGAGCUUGUCAGUUAGAGGGGAGGGAAGGGUUGGGGAGGGGCAGUUCCCUGGUCUCUGUCUUUGGACUUCAUGGGGCCUGUGCCCCCAUCCUGCCAUGGCCUUCACAAGGGUUUCUGUCCUCGCUCCAGAGUGAGGUGCCACCCAUCCCCCAUCCCCCACCCAUCC
rnacentral:lncRNA from 1 species